rnacentral:rRNA from 1 species
UACGGGGGGAGCAAGCGUUGUUCGGAUUUACUGGGCGUAAAGGGCGCGUAGGCGGCCUUCUAAGUCGGACGUGAAAUCCCUCGGCUUAACCGAGGAACUGCGUCCGAGACUGAAAGGCUUGAAUCCGGGAGAGGGAUGUGGAAUUCCAGGUGUAGCGGUGAAAUGCGUAGAUAUCUGGAGGAACACCGGUGGCGAAGGCGGCAUCCUGGACCGGCAUUGACGCUGAGGCGCGAAAGCUAGGGGAGCAAACGGG